UCUUCGGGAUAGGUAGUAGUUAAGGUGAUGGCUUAACUAGCCAAAAACUCUCGUAGUCGAAGCUGAAAGGUUGAUCGACCACAUUGGGUUUGAAAAAACCCCAAUGCAAGUUAGUACAGCAGUGAGGAAUCUUGGUCAAUGGCCUAACGGCUGAACUGGCAACUUGGAGAAGUGGCAAGUCUUAUUUUGAUUAUAUUACAAUAUAUAAUCUAUAAGAUUGUAUUAAAAUUGAAUAAAGCUUUGUUUAUAUAUUGAUAAUGACAGUAUAUAUAUCGUGUCUUGACUAAUUACGUGCCAGCAGUCGCGGUAAUACGUAAGAGACUAGUGUUAUUCAUCUUGAUUAGGUUUAAAGGGUACCUAGACGGUCAAUAUAUCUUCUAAAAUGUUAGUACUUGACUAGAGUUUUAUAUAAGAGGGCAGUACUUGAGGAGGAGAGAUGAAAUUCUAUUAUACCAAAGGGACUCGGUAAAGGCGAAGGCAGCCCUCUAUGUAAAAACUGACGUUGAAGGACGAAGGCACAGAGCACAAACAGGAUUAGAUACCCAAGUAGUCUUUGCAGUAAAUGAUGAAUGCCAUAGGUUAGAUUAA
rnacentral:rRNA from 1 species